rnacentral:rRNA from 1 species
GACGAACGCUGGCGGCGUGCUUAACACAUGCAAGUCGAACGGAAAGGCCCUGCUUGCAGGGUACUCGAGUGGCGAACGGGUGAGUAACACGUGGGUGAUCUGCCCUGCACUUCGGGAUAAGCCUGGGAAACUGGGUCUAAUACCGGAUAUGACCUUCCAUGUAGUGUGGGGGGUGGAAAGAUUUAUCGGUGUGGGAUGAGCCCGCGGCCUAUCAGCUUGUUGGUGGGGUAAUGGCCUACCAAGGCGUCGACGGGUAGCCGGCCUGAGAGGGUGGACGGCCACAUUGGGACUGAGAUACGGACCAGACUCCUACGGGAGGCAGCAGUGGGGAAUAUUGCACAAUGGGCGGAAGCCUUAUGCAGCGACGCCGCGUGGGGGAUGACGGCCUUCGGGUUGUAAACCUCUUUCGACAGGGACGAAGCUUCGGUGACGGUACCUGUAUAAGAAGCACCGGCUAACUACGUG